UCUCCGUAGGUGAACCUGCGGAGGGAUCAUUACUGAGUGAGGGCCCUCGGGCUCGACCUCCAACCCUUUGUGAAUCGUACUCGUUGCUUCGGGGGCGACCCUGCCGUUCGCGGCGUGGGCCCCCCGGAGCCCAUCAAACCCUGCGUAACUGAGUCGUCGGAGUUUAAACAAAUUAAACAAAACUUUCAACAACGGAUCUCUUGGUUCGGGCAUCGAUGAAGAACGCAGC
rnacentral:misc_RNA from 1 species